AUUGAACGCUGGCGGCAUGCCUUACACAUGCAAGUCGAACGGCAGCACGGGAGCAAUCCUGGUGGCGAGUGGCGAACGGGUGAGUAAUAUAUCGGAACGUGCCCAGUCGUGGGGGAUAACGUAGCGAAAGCUACGCUAAUACCGCAUACGAUCUACGGAUGAAAGCGGGGGAUCGCAAGACCUCGCGCGAUUGGAGCGGCCGAUAUCAGAUUAGCUAGUUGGUGGGGUAAAAGCUCACCAAGGCGACGAUCUGUAGCUGGUCUGAGAGGACGACCAGCCACACUGGGACUGAGACACGGCCCAGACUCCUACGGGAGGCAGCAGUGGGGAAUUUUGGACAAUGGGGGCAACCCUGAUCCAGCCAUGCCGCGUGCGGGAAGAAGGCCUUCGGGUUGUAAACCGCUUUUGUCAGGGAAGAAACGCUCUGGGUUAAUACCCCGGGGUAAUGACGGUACCUGAAGAAUAAGCACCGGCUAACUACGUGCCAGCAGCCGCGGUAAU
rnacentral:rRNA from 1 species